rnacentral:rRNA from 1 species
AAUAGAUACCCAGGUAGUCCACGCCGUAAACGAUGAGUGCUAAGUGUUAGAGGGUUUCCGCCCUUUAGUGCUGCAGCUAACGCAUUAAGCACUCCGCCUGGGGAGUACGGCCGCAAGGCUGAAACUCAAAGGAAUUGACGGGGGCCCGCACAAGCGGUGGAGCAUGUGGUUUAAUUCGAAGCAACGCGAAGAACCUUACCAGGUCUUGACAUCCUCUGCCAACCCUAGAGAUAGGGCGUUCCCCUUCGGGGGACAGAGUGACAGGUGGUGCAUGGUUGUCGUCAGCUCGUGUCGUGAGAUGUUGGGUUAAGUCCCGCAACGAGCGCAACCCUUGAUCUUAGUUGCCAGCAUUCAGUUGGGCACUCUAAGGUGACUGCCGGUGACAAACCGGAGGAAGUGGGGAUGACGUCAAAUCAUCAUGCCCCUUAUGACCUGGGCUACACACGUGCUACAAUGGAUGGUACAAAGAGCUGCGAACCCGCGAGGGUAAGCCAAUCUCAUAAAGCCAUUCUCAGUUCGGAUUGUAGG